CCCACUAAACAUUCAUAGAUCAUACAGUGUAACGAUGACAAUCUGUUGACAAAUAUUAUGACUUAACGUGCUUAGAUGAUUCCAAUGUCUCUUCGUGUUUAACUGGCCAGUUUACAUGCUCUGAAGGAUCAUGUAUUCAUACGUUUGACCUUUGCAAUGGAAAACCAAAAUGCAAGAGCGCUGAAGAUGAAAGUCGGUGUGAAAGACCAUGUCCCGAGAACCAGUGCAUGGAUGGAGAAUGUCAAAAGUCUUGCGAAGAAACGACGUAUAAUAUAACCGAAUGUUGGAGCUCCAACGAAUACCACAGAAACAGUUGCAUAGAUGAGAAUACAAAGUGCGCAAAAACAAAUGGUAUCUGCGGGUUCGAAAAUGGCCCUUGUGGGAUGCAAAAUUAUGGGUGGAGAUACUACACACCAACCAACACAAGCACAAGAUAUGAUCGUUCAUUUUUAGAA